rnacentral:tRNA from 1 species
GUUUCUAUAGUUAAGGUGAUUAACGGUGGUUUUUCAGGCCACAGACCUUGGGUAGUGCCCAAGUGGGAACU